AGUGAACGCUGGCGGCAGGCCUAAUACAUGCAAGUCGAACGGCAGCACAGCAGAGCUUGCUCUGUGGGUGGCGAGUGGCGGACGGGUGAGGAAUACAUGGGAAUCUGCCCAGUCGUGGGGGAUAACGUAUGGAAACGUACGCUAAUACCGCAUGCGCCCUACGGGGGGAAAGCCGGGGACCGAAAGGCCUGGCGCGAUUGGAUGAGCCCAUGUUCGAUUAGCUAGUUGGCGGGGUAAAGGCCCACCAAGGCGACGAUCGAUAGCUGGUCUGAGAGGAUGAUCAGCCACACUGGAACUGAGACACGGUCCAGACUCCUACGGGAGGCAGCAGUAGGGGAAUAUUGGACAAUGGGGGCAACCCUGAUCCAGCCAUGCCGCGUGAGUGAAGAAGGCCCUCGGGUUGUAAAGCUCUUUUGUCCGGAAAGAAAAGCAUUCGGUUAAUACCCGGGUGUUCUGACGGUACCGGAAGAAUAAGCACCGGCUAACUUCGUGCCAGC
rnacentral:rRNA from 1 species